UACGGGGGGGGGCAAGCGUUGUUCGGAAUUACUGGGCGUAAAGGGCUCGUAGGUGGCCAACUCAGUCAGACGUGAAAUCCCUCGGCUUAACCGGGGAACUGCGUCUGAUACUGGAUGGCUUGAGGUUGGGAGAGGGAUGCGGAAUUCCAGGUGUAGCGGUGAAAUGCGUAGAUAUCUGGAGGAACACCGGUGGCGAAGGCGGCAUCCUGGACCAAUUCUGACAGCUGAGGAGCGAAAGCCAGGGGAGACAAAGCGGG
rnacentral:rRNA from 1 species